rnacentral:tRNA from 1 species
AAGAUAACAUAUAUUAAACUUCUAAUUUAAUUACAGUCUAUUAAGACUUUAUCUUU